GACGAACGCUGGCGGCGUGCUUAACACAUGCAAGUCGAACGGAAAGGCCCUGCUUUUGUGGGGUGCUCGAGUGGCGAACGGGUGAGUAACACGUGAGUAACCUGCCCUUUACUUUGGGAUAACUUCAGGAAACUGGGGCUAAUACCGGAUAGGAGCUCCUGCUGCAUGGUGGGGGUUGGAAAGUUUCGGCGGUUGGGGAUGGACUCGCGGCUUAUCAGCUUGUUGGUGGGGUAGUGGCUUACCAAGGCUUUGACGGGUAGCCGGCCUGAGAGGGUGACCGGCCACAUUGGGACUGAGAGACGGCGCAGACUCCUACGGGAGGCAGCAGUGGGGAAUAUUGCACAAUGGGCGGAAGCCUGAUGCAGCAACGCCGCGUGCGGGAUGACGGCCUUCGGGUUGUAAACCGCUUUCGCCUGUGACGAAGCGUGAGUGACGGUAAUGGGUAAAGAAGCACCGGCUAACUACGUG
rnacentral:rRNA from 1 species